rnacentral:rRNA from 1 species
UACGUAGGGGGCUAGCGUUGUCCGGAAUCAUUGGGCGUAAAGCGCGCGUAGGCGGCCCGGUAAGUCCGCUGUAAAGGUCAAAGGCUCAACCUUUGAAUGCAGUGGAUACUGCCGGGCUAGAGUCCGGAAGAGGCGAGUGGAACUCCUGGUGUAGCGGUGGAAUGCGCAGAUAUCAGGAAGAACACCAACGGCGAAGGCAGCUCGCUGGGACGGAACUGACGCUGGAGGCGCGAAAGCCGUGGGGAGCAAACAGG